CAACCUGCUAUCAGAAGUCACGCUAAAGCCCGGUCUACACUACAGGGUAAGGUUGACGUAAGCUGCCUUGCAUCAACCUAGCUGUGGAAGUGUCUUCACUUAAAUUUGGUUUGGGCCAAUACUGCAACAUCACAGAAACAACUAAGACUGAACAGGGGGAAAGAACUGGACCCAGGCUGGAAGGGCACCUGGCCUGUGAAGAAGAUUCCUAGAACCACAUUUAGGCUGGGUGUGGCCCUGCGUUUGCGCUUGGCUGGAAAAACAUGGGAAGCCUAGCCCAGCAAGAGCAGGUAAAAGGGGGCCCAGGCUGGCAGGAUAGUCUGACUCAGCAGUGUCCCAGCACACCAGGUGACAUCCCAGGGGGUCCAAUCCAUCACAAUUUGUUUGUGCUGCAGUGAAUUGACUAUAAAACAAAUA